UACGUAGGGAGCAAGCGUUGUCCGGAAUCAUUGGGCGUAAAGCGCGCGUAGGUGGCCUCAUAAGUCCGCUGUGAAAGUCAAAGGCUCAACCUUUGAAAGCCGGUGGAUACUGUCGAGCUAGAGUCCGGAAGAGGCGAGUGGAAUUCCUGGUGUAGCGGUGAAAUGCGCAGAUAUCAGGAGGAACACCAAUGGCGAAGGCAGCUCGCUGGGACGGUACUGACGCUGAGACGCGAAAGCGUGGGGAGCAAACAGG
rnacentral:rRNA from 1 species